rnacentral:rRNA from 1 species
AGACCUGUCCUUAGUACGAGAGGACCGGGAUGGACGUACCUCUGGUGUACCAGUUGUUCUGCCAAGGGCAUGGCUGGGUAGCUAUGUACGGAAUGGAUAAGCGCUGAAAGCAUCUAAGCGCGAAGCCAACUUCAAGAUAAGAUUUCCCACCGCAAGGGUAAGACCCCAGAAAGACUAUCUGGUUGAUAGGUCGAAGGUGUAAGUGCAGCAAUGUAUUUAGCUUAUCGAUACUAAUAGGUCGAGGACUUGACCAAU